rnacentral:lncRNA from 1 species
GUGGGUGGACUACAGGCAUAGUCUAGCAUGAUAGACGAACAUGUAAUGUUGGCACAUUCUAACACAUUGGACUUCAAAAAUAAAAAACUUGUAAGGUUGGAAGAACAAAUUUCCUAUUCUACAAAAAGGAAAUGCAUCAUUUCUGUAUAUUUCUUAACACAAAUGCAAUUAAAAUUCCACAAGGACAUGUUGGAAGAUCCUGUUUAGUAC